CCUACGGGAGGCAGCAGUGGGGAAUAUUGGGCAAUGGGCGCAAGCCUGACCCAGCAACGCCGCGUGAAGGAAGAAGGCCCUCGGGUUGUAAACUUCUUUUUUCAGGGACGAAACAAAUGACGGUACCUGACGAAUAAGCCUCGGCUAACUACGUGCCAGCAACUGCGGUAAUACGUAGGUGGCAAGCUUUAUCCGGAUUUACUGGGUGUAAGGGGCGUGUAGGCGGAAGAGCAAGUCAGAGGGGAAAUUCCAGGGCUCAACCCUGGAACUGCAUUUUAAACUGUUUUUCUUGAGUGAUGGUGAGGCAGGCGGAAUUCCUUGUGUAGCGGUGAAAUGCGUAGAUAUACGGCGGAACACCAGUGGCGAAGGCGGCCUGCUGGACAUUAACUGACGCUGAGGCGCGAAAGCGUGGGGAGCAAACAGGAUUAGAUACCCGAGUAGUC
rnacentral:rRNA from 1 species